UACGUAGGAUGCAAGCGUUGCUCGGAAUUAUUGGGUGUAAAGGGCGCGUAGGUGGCCUGAUAAGUCAUGGGUGAAAGCCCUCGGCUCAACCGAGGAAUAGCCUAUGAUACUGUCGGGCUUGAGUAUGGGAGAGGGAAGUGGAAUUCCUGGUGUAGCGGUGAAAUGCGUAGAUAUCAGGAGGAACACCGGUGGCGAAGGCGGCUUCCUGGACCAAUACUGACACUGAGGCGCGAAAGCGUGGGUAGCAAACAGG
rnacentral:rRNA from 1 species